rnacentral:rRNA from 1 species
AUUGAACGCUGGCGGCAGGCCUAACACAUGCAAGUCGAGCGGAUGAAGGGAGCUUGCUCCUGGAUUCAGCGGCGGACGGGUGAGUAAUGCCUAGGAAUCUGCCUGGUAGUGGGGGAUAACGUCCGGAAACGGGCGCUAAUACCGCAUACGUCCUGAUGGAGAAAGUGGGUGAUCUUCGGACCUCACGCUAUCAGAUGAGCCUAGGUCGGAUUAGCUAGUUGGUGGGGUAAAGGCCUACCAAGGCGACGAUCCGUAACUGGUCUGAGAGGAUGAUCAGUCACACUGGAACUGAGACACGGUCCAGACUCCUACGGGAGGAAGCAGUGGGGAAUAUUGGACGAUGGGCGAAAGCCUGAUCCAGCCAUGCCGCGUGUGUGAAGAAGGUCUUCGGAUUGUAAAGCACUUUAAGUUGGGAGGAAGGGCAGUAAGUUAAUACCUUGCUGUUUUGACGUUACCAACAGAAUAAGCACCGGCUAACUUCGUG